CGCAGGUGUAUCGGAUGAAAGGAGAGCAGGGGCAGCUGCGGCUGGUGCUCCAGGAUGGACGCUCUGCGGAGUCGGCUCUUCGAAGUUGGAUUCAAGCUUGCUGCAUCCUGAAACAACUGUAAGAAUUGAGGCGAAAUCCACCAUGUUACUUGACUCUGAAUUGGGGAAGAAGAGUUUAAUAGAACUUCAUUGGUAACUGGGAGUUUUUAACCUGAAGCCUUCAAAGAUAUUUUGGAUUUUGUCAUUGAGUGGAUGGCCUCUAGUUGUCAUCUAGUGUUGUCAUCAUGCAUCCCAGUGUUGUUCAGGAAUGACUGACACAGUUCUCUACUAUAUAUUGUUAAUGAAAUUAUAAUAGAGCCAAAAGCACAUGUGUGUGAAAUUUUAAUAUUCCACUGCAUCCUUUGCAUGCUAUAAACAGCCUGUAUGUAGAUCCCUGCAAAUGUAAACUCCCUGAUGUUAUACCUGUAUAAAAAAGGGAAUUGGUUCCUGCUCUGAAGUGGAUUGUGGCUUUGAAUAAACCAAUGCUACUGCA